UACUCUUGGCAGUGGAUCACUUGGCUCGUACAUCAAUGAAAGAUGCAACUAGUUGCGAGAACUAAUGUGAAUUGCAGGACACAUUGAUCAUCAACACUUCAAACACACCUUGCGGCCCUGGGUCUUUCCCAGAGCCCUGCAUGUCUGCGGGUAA
rnacentral:rRNA from 1 species